GGUCGAUGAUGAUUGGUAAAAGGUCUGACUGCACUGAAUGUCACAGUCGCUCCCUUGCCCUCAGCUCCCAGCAGCCCAUUCUUUUUCUGCCACACUCAAGUCGUGUGUGGGGGAUAAUGGAGCGGCUGAUAACUGGGAUUUUGUCAGUGUGUGUUUCUGCGAGUGAGCAAUUCACAGCUGACGAGCAUCCAACAGAACCGAGUCCAGAGGAGCGUGACGAGUGGCGGGCACGGCGUGACAGUGCGUGAUCUCAAGUUUUCAAUCUGAGACC